AGCUGUAAUACCAGUGGACAUAUGUUGUCAACCCCCAUCAAUGAAGCCAAGCUGUUUUCGACAGCUGUCACUCAAGCCAAGCUGUUGUCAGCCUUGUAAUCCUUGUAAUCAGUGUGGCGCUUGUCAACCGGUAUUGAUGCCUAGCUGUUGUCAGCCUUGUAAUCCUUGUAAUCGGUGUAGGCUUGUCAGCCGGCAUUGAUGCCUAGCUGAUUCACACUGAAAGGCUUGGGGUUGACAGCUCCUGGAAACUCAGCACAGCUGUGCGGCCUUCCUCUCUGAGAGAGGAAUGGAAAGAAAGCGGUGCUCAAGAACACUCGCUGCUCUUCCCAAGCCUUGAGUUCAGUUCCCAGCACCUGGGAGCUGCAACUCUAGCAGGCCGCCCAGGG